CUGCGGAAGGAUCAUUAACAAAUUACAACGUUUGUUGCAAAACCCAAUCUGUGUAUUCUUACUUGUUGCUUCCCCGGGGGCCUGCCCCCGGGGAAGGUAACCAAAAAACCCUGUUUUAUCUGAAAUCAGUCUGAACUUUGUUUAUUUAUAAUCAAACGUUUAAAACUUUCAACAACGGAUCUCUUGGUUCUCCCAUCGAUGAAGAACGCAGCGAAAUGCGAUAAGUAGUGUGAAUUGCAGAAUUCAGUGAAUCAUCGAAUCUUUGAACGCACAUUGCGCCCCCUGGCAUUCCGGGGGGCAUGCCUGUUCGAGCGUCAUCAAAACCUCUCAGGCUGGGGUUCCGUCUAUUGGAACCGUCAGCUUGGUCUUGGGCCCGAGGAGUCGAAUCCUCCGCCUGCAAUCCAGUGGCAAAUAUCCUGCACAGCAUGAGCGUGAUAAGCAUGUCAGUCGCAAAUGAACGAAGGGAAUAUUUCGCCAGAACCCCCACAUAUCUUUCCAGUUUGACCUCGGAUCAGGUAGGGAUACCCGCUGAACUUAAGCAUAUCAAUAAGC
rnacentral:rRNA from 1 species